GAUGAACGCUGGCGGCGUGCCUAAUACAUGCAAGUCGAGCGAACAGACGAGGAGCUUGCUCCUCUGACGUUAUCGGCGGACGGGUGAGUAACACGUGGAUAACCUACCUAUAAGACUGGGAUAACUUCGGGAAACCGGAGCUAAUACCGGAUAAUAUAUUGAACCGCAUGGUUCAAUAGUGAAAGACGGUUUUGCUGUCACUUAUAGAUGGAUCCGCGCCGCAUUAGCUAGUUGGUAAGGUAACGGCUUACCAAGGCAACGAUGCGUAGCCGACCUGAGAGGGUGAUCGGCCACACUGGAACUGAGACACGGUCCAGACUCCUACGGGAGGCAGCAGUAGGGAAUCUUCCGCAAUGGGCGAAAGCUUGACGGAGCAACGCCGCGUGAGUGAUGAAGGUCUUCGGAUCGUAAAACUCUGUUAUUAGGGAAGAACAAAUGUGUAAGUAACUAUGCACGUCUUGACGGUACCUAAUCAGAAAGCCACGGCUAACUACGUG
rnacentral:rRNA from 1 species